GGGAAGAGAGGACGCUCUGACCAGGCCGAAUGAAAACUUGUGGCUCAACGGCACGUCAAUAAAAUCGAUCAUGAAAUUGGGCAGAGUUGCCUCACUGACCGUGUCUCCAGUUGUGGAAAAUAAGCUGGCGCUGCAGUACCGAGGCUCCAUUCAUAGGUGGACGCUUUCAAUCGACCCACGUAUCAAGAUGGUUAAAAUUACAGGUCGACAGAAACCUUC